rnacentral:rRNA from 1 species
GAUUCUGGCUCAGGAUGAACGCUGGCGGCGUGCCUAACACAUUCAAGUCGAACGGACGACAGGGGGCUUGCUCCCUGAAGUUAGUGGCGGACGGGUGAGUAACGCGUGAGCAACCUGCCUUUUUCCGGGGGAUAACACGGGGAAACCGGUGCUAAUACCGCAUAACGUGCCGAGGUCGCAUGGUCUUGGUACCAAAGGAGCAAUCCGGGGAAAGAUGGGCUCGCGUCUGAUUAGAUAGUUGGUGGGGUAACGGCCUACCAAGUCGACGAUCAGUAGCCGGACUGAGAGGUUGAACGGCCACAUUGGAACUGAGAUACGGUCCAGACUCCUACGGGAGGCAGCAGUGGGGAAUAUUGGGCAAUGGGCGAAAGCCUGAACCCCCAGCGACGCCGCGUGAGGGAAGAAGGUCUUCGGAUUGUAAACCUUUGUCAGCAGGGAAGAAGCAAGUGACGGUACCUGCUAAGAAAGCCACGGCUAACUACGUGCCAGCAGCUGC